UGAAUACGAGAUGCUACGGCGUCGAAGCAGUGUAUGUCAGACUUCCAAGAAAAGCUCGCAAUGUCAUAAAUAAAGAAUGCCUGUACCAUAACCGACACAGGUGGGUAGGUAGAGUAUACUAAGGGGCGCGAGAUAACUCUCUCUAAGGAACUCGGCAAAAUAACUCCGUAACUUCGGGAGAAGGAGUGCCUUCUUUAAGAAGGUUGCAAUAACAAGAUCCAAGCAACUGUUUAUCAAAAACACAGGUCUCCGCUAAGUCGUAAGACGAUGUAUGGGGGCUGACGCCUGCCCAGUGCCAGAAGGUUAAAGAAGCUGGUUAGCAAUAGCGAAGCUGGUGACUGAAGCCCUGGUGAACGGCGGCCGUAACAAUAACGGUCCUAAGGUAGCGAAAUUCCUUGUCGGGUAAGUUCCGACCCGCACGAAAGGCGUAAUGAUUUGGAUACUGUCUCGGAGAGGGACUCGGUGAAAUAGACUUGUCUGUGAAGAUGCGGACUACCUGCACCAGGACAGAAAGACCCUACGAAGCUUUACUGUAACCUGAAAUUGAAAUUGGACUUUAUUUGCGCAGUAUAGGUGGGAGGCGUUGAAAGUAAUCUUGCGGGAUUAGUGGAGCCAUCAGUGAGAUACCACUCCUAUAAUGUUAGAUUUCUAACUUUGGAUCAUGAUCUGGUCAAAGAACAGUUUCAGGCGGGCAGUCUGACUGGGGCGGUCGCCUCCCAAAUGGUAACGGAGGCGUACAAAGGUUUCCUCUGAACGGGUAGAAAUCGUAUCUAGAGUGUAAAGGCAUAAGGAAGCUUGACUGUGAGACCUACAAGUCGAGCAGGGACGAAAGUCGGUCUUAGUGAUCUGACGGUGCUGAGUGGAAAGGCCGUCACUCAACGGAUAAAAGUUACUCUAAGGAUAACAGGCUGAUCUCCCCCAAGAGUUCACAUCGACGGGGAGGUUUGGCACCUCGAUGUCGGCUCAUCGCAUCCUGGGGCGGUAGUACGUCCCAAGGGUUGGGCUGUUCGCCCAUGAAAGCGGUACGCGAGCUGGGUUCAGAACGUCGUGAGACAGUUCGGUCCAUAUCCGGUGUAGGCGUUAGAAUAUUGAGAGGAGCCUUCUCUAGUACGAGAGGACCGAGAAGGACAUACCUCUGGUGUACCAGUUAUCGUGCCAACGGUAAACGCUGGGUAGCUAUGUAUGGAGAGGAUAACCGCUGAAAGCAUCUAAGUGGGAAGCCCACCUCAAGAUGAGUAUUCUCAC
rnacentral:rRNA from 1 species